rnacentral:tRNA from 1 species
GGGCCUUUAGCUUAUCUGGUAGAGCACGGCAUUCGCAUUGCCGAGAGGGCGGUUCGAGUCCGCCAAGGUCCA